AGUGCUUGCUUUGGCACUACAUACUACUAAAAUUGGAAUACAGAGAAGAUUAGCAUGGCCCUCACACAAGAAUGACACACAAAUUUAUGAAGCAUUCUAUGUUAUU